UUGUGUACAUAAGUCCUCAAGAAUUGUACAUAUAUGUUUUGAUCUAAAUUUGGUUAGUAUAUCUUAAAUCCCAAUCAUUUUGACAAGUUUUUGUAAUUAAAGUUGAAUUUUUGAUGAAGAAUUAAUGUUUGAUCUUGAAGAUGCUCGUUGGGCUAGAGAAAGCUAGAGAAAGCCAGAAAUUUUGUUGAAUUGGCAGAGAGUUUCUGGCUUAAGCCAGAGAAAGCCAAAAAUCCUAUUGAAUUGACAGAGAGUUUCUGGCUUAAGCCAGAUAAAGCUACAAGUCCUGUUGAAUUGGCAGUGAGUUUUUGGCUCCAGCCAGAGAAAACCAGAAGAGCUGGAGGUGACUCAGAGGACACGUGUUAGCAAACCCAGCUAUGAAGUAAGGUAGCUGGCUGGGCCAGCUUAAAAAUCUAGUUCAUUAUAAAAGGACACCAAGAGCAGAAAAAUGGAUCAGAUAACUGGUAAUACUUCAAAAAACAGAGAAAAACAUCUUAGGAGCUAGGUUUAAGCAACUUGAAGGUGGAUUUGCUCAUCUUUGUUGAGGAAUCAACUCAUGAUGUUUGUUCAUUUCAAUUUCUUUCAUCUUUGUAAAGUUACUAUGUCUAUGGGUAACUAAACUCUCUUAUUGUUGGGAUUAGAUGUAAAAUAGUCUAUGAAUAUGUAUUUAUCUUGAUAUUGUGUUAUACAUGUUUUGGUGAUUCAAUCAAUCUUGAUAUUAUCUUUGCUUUUAAUGUUUUAUUCUUUGGAUUUGAAAUAGUAUAGGGAUAUAUGUUUUGAAUCAAUGAAUUAGGAUAAUAUCUAUUGAAUCUAAACUCUAGGAAUAGAUUUAGAUUUAAUAAUCACUNNNNNNNNNNNNNNNNNUCACCCGAGGGAUCGGGGAUUGAUCGAUGUAAUAGUUUCUCGUCGUUAUCUGGGAACGGAAACGUACGAAGAGCAAUACGUGAUAAAAUUGGUUGGUAACUCAAAUAUGUAUAACAGGUCA
rnacentral:lncRNA from 1 species